rnacentral:tRNA from 1 species
GGAUAUUUGGCUGAGCGGUUGAAAGCAUGAUAUUUGAGCUAUCAUAUAUAAUAUUUAUAUCGAGAGUUCGAAUCUCUCAGUAUCCG